GCCGCGCUCGUCGGGGACUCUGUGCCCGAGGAGGAGGCCGAGGCCCGCCGCCGCACGUAGACCCUGCCUGGCGGCGCCUUCGUGCCACCCCUUUGCGCCCUGGAGGUGCGCACGGCGGCGAUCGGCCCCAGCCGCUCCGAGUGAGGCCCGGACGCCCAGCGCGCCAGCAGCCGAGCGCGGGGCUGCGUCCCCCGGCGGGAUCCGGAGACCCAGACAGAUGGUUUGGGAGUUGGCAGGACCUGGGAGCACACCUUCCUCUCCACAUCCACUUAUUCCUUGCUUGGUUCUGUGGACUUCUCCUCCAAAGAAAUCAUAAUUUACAAUAAAAAGCUGCCUGUUGUGAGCCAAGUACUGUA